rnacentral:lncRNA from 1 species
AGACAUUCUGAUUCUUUCUGUCACCUCAGCAGGGAAGAGUAAAGAUUCACAAAUAUGAAAUCAGGAGGGAAGCACUCCUUUCCACAAAAGGGUCACAGGGGAAGGAGAGCUGAUAGGGGCUGGAGCAGCAGGCCAUUUUGAAGGUUCUGGAGGAUCUGAGUCAGUCUCAAGAGGACAGGUGUGCAGGGAAAUGGUCCCAGCUACUGCCAGGAAACGAGCGGUUCCGAUCCUAAGGCAUCAUGAGAUUGAAAGAUCACCAAUACAAUACA